rnacentral:rRNA from 1 species
GAUGAACGCUGGCGGCGUGCCUAGUACAUGCAAGUCGAGCGAACAGACGAGGAGCUUGCUCCUUUGACGUUAGCGGCGGACGGGUGAGUAACACGUGGGUAACCUACCUAUAAGACUGGGAUAACUUCGGGAAACCGGAGCUAAUACCGGAUAAUAUUUCGAACCGCAUGGUUCGAUAGUGAAAGAUGGCUUUGCUAUCACUUAUAGAUGGACCUGCGCCGUAUUAGCUAGUUGGUAAGGUAACGGCUUACCAAGGCAACGAUACGUAGCCGACCUGAGAGGGUGAUCGGCCACACUGGAACUGAGACACGGUCCAGACUCCUACGGGAGGCAGCAGUGGGGAAGCUUCCGCAAUGGGCGAAAGCCUGACGGAGCAACGCCGCGUGAGUGAUGAAGGUCUUCGGAUCGUAAAACUCUGUUAUUAGGGAAGAACAAACGUGUAAGUAACUGUGCACGUCUUGACGGUACCUAAGCAGAAAGCCACGGCUAACUACGU